UACGUAGGCAGCAAGCGUUGUUCGGAAUUACUGGGCGUAAAGCGCACGUAGGCGGAUUUGUUAGUCAGGGGUGAAAUCCCGAGGCUCAACCUCGGAACUGCCUUUGAUACUGCAAAUCUCGAGUCCGGAAGAGGUGAGUGGAAUUCCGAGUGUAGAGGUGAAAUUCGUAGAUAUUCGCAAGAACACCAGUGGCGAAGGCGGCUUACUGGUCCGGUUCUGACGCUGAGGCGCGAAAGCGUGGGGAGCAAACAGG
rnacentral:rRNA from 1 species